rnacentral:misc_RNA from 1 species
AAGUCGUAACAAGGUAACCGUAGGUGAACCUGCGGUUGGAUCAUUACAAAGAUCAUGAAAUGAGGUUUUGGUACCGGUGCAGGUCAAAAAUCCGCUCGAGUGCCUCGGCGCUCGCGGGUUCUGUGCUGUGUAUCAAGCCUUUUUUUCACAACCCACAUCUUGUGCACCGUUAAACUGUCCUUGGUGCCAGUGGUUGGGUAGUUGGGAGCCUGCGUGCACACCGCUACCCUGCAGCUGGGAAACUUGUUUUCUCAGCGCAGGCCACCGAUAGCUUGGGCCGGUUUCGGCUCUGGCUUGACUGAAACACACCUUAGCAUUUCAUUUGUCGAUUUUUAUGUUUUCUAAAAACAACCUUUUAAAAACAUAAACAACUUUUGGCAACGGAUCUCUUGGUUCUC